rnacentral:misc_RNA from 1 species
GAUGAAGAACGCAGCGAAACGCGAUAAGUAAUGUGAAUUGCAGAAUUCAGUGAAUCAUCGAAUCUUUGAACGCACAUUGCGCCCGCCAGUAUUCUGGCGGGCAUGCCUGUCUGAGCGUCAUUUCAACCCUCAUGCCCCUAGGGCGUGGUGUUGGGGAUCGGCCAAAGCCCGCGAGGGACGGCCGGCCCCUAAAUCUAGUGGCGGACCCGUCGUGGCCUCCUCUGCGAAGUAGUGAUAUUCCGCAUCGGAGAGCGACGAGCCCCUGCCGUUAAACCCCCAACUUUCCAAGGUUGACCUCAGAUCAGGUAGGAAUACCCGCUGAACUUAAGCAUAUCAAUAAGCGGAGGA